GUGGGUAUAGCUCAGUGUAGAGCAUGUGCUCAGCAUGCAUGAGGUCCUGGGUUCAAUCCCCAGUCCCACC
rnacentral:tRNA from 1 species